rnacentral:rRNA from 1 species
GAUGAACGCUGGCGGCGUGCCUAAUACAUGCAAGUCGAGCGAAUGGACGAGAAGCUUGCUUCUCUGAUGUUAGCGGCGGACGGGUGAGUAACACGUGGAUAACCUACCUAUAAGACUGGGAUAACUUCGGGAAACCGGAGCUAAUACCGGAUGAUAUUUUGAACCGCAUGGUUCAAAAGUGAAAGACGGUCUUGCUGUCACUUAUAGAUGGAUCCGCGCUGCAUUAGCUAGUUGGUAAGGUAACGGCUUACCAAGGCAACGAUGCAUAGCCGACCUGAGAGGGUGAUCGGCCACACUGGAACUGAGACACGGUCCAGACUCCUACGGGAGGCAGCAGUAGGGAAUCUUCCGCAAUGGGCGAAAGCCUGACGGAGCAACGCCGCGUGAGUGAUGAAGGUCUUCGGAUCGUAAAACUCUGUUAUUAGGGAAGAACAUAUGUGUAAGUAACUGUGCACAUCUUGACGGUACCUAAUCAGAAAGCCACGGCUAACUACGUG